UUGGGAAAUUCCCCGGACGCUCAGGCAGAAAGUGCCGCCCGGAAACGGGAAACCGACCGAUUGCAAAGCAUUUGGCGAAGACGGCGGGGGGCGACCCUCGUCUGAGCCCCGCGAACGCGAUCGUGAACGUUUCGUCCCAGCAAAGUUAUGCCAUCUGGCAACCUCCUCGGAGGCUUUGCUGCACUCAACGGGGAUUAU
rnacentral:RNase_MRP_RNA from 1 species